rnacentral:misc_RNA from 1 species
UGAUAUAUCAGGGUCCUUUCAG